GACGAACGCUGGCGGCGUGCUUAACACAUGCCAGUCGAACGGAAAGGCCCUGCUUUUGUGGGGUGCUCGAGUGGCGAACGGGUGAGUAACACGUGAGUAACCUGCCCUUGACUUUGGGAUAACUUCAGGAAACUGGGGCUAAUACCGGAUAGGAGCUCCUGCUGCAUGGUGGGGGUUGGAAAGUUUCGGCGGUUGGGGAUGGACUCGCGGCUUAUCAGCUUGUUGGUGGGGUAGUGGCUUACCAAGGCUUUGACGGGUAGCCGGCCUGAGAGGGUGACCGGCCACAUUGGGACUGAGAUACGGCCCAGACUCAUACGGGAGGCAGCAGUGGGGAAUAUUGCACAAUGGGCGGAAGCCGGAUGCAGCAACGCCGCGUGCGGGAUGACGGCCUUCGGGUUGUAAACCGCUUUCGCCUGUGACGAAGCGUGAGUGACGGUAAUGGGUAAAGAAGCACCGGCUAACUACGUG
rnacentral:rRNA from 1 species